rnacentral:rRNA from 1 species
GACGAACGCUGGCGGCGUGCUUAACACAUGCAAGUCGAACGAUGAAGCCGGAGCUUGCUCUGGUGGAUUAGUGGCGAACGGGUGAGUAACACGUGAGUAACCUGCCCUUGACUCUGGGAUAAGCGUUGGAAACGACGUCUAAUACCGGAUACGAGCUAGGACCGCAUGGUCACUAGCUGGAAAGAACUUCGGUCAAGGAUGGACUCGCGGCCUAUCAGCUAGUUGGUGAGGUAACGGCUCACCAAGGCGACGACGGGUAGCCGGCCUGAGAGGGUGACCGGCCACACUGGGACUGAGACACGGCCCAGACUCCUACGGGAGGCAGCAGUGGGGAAUAUUGCACAAUGGGCGCAAGCCUGGUGCAGCAACGCCGCGUGCGGGAUGACGGCCUUCGGGUUGUAAACCGCUUUUAGUAGGGAAGAAGCCUUCGGGUGACGGUACCUGCAGAAAAAGGACCGGCUAACUACGUGCCAGCAGCCGCAGUAAUAC